rnacentral:rRNA from 1 species
CCUACGGGAGGCAGCAGUGAGGAAUAUUGGUCAAUGGGCGCAAGCCUGAACCAGCCAAGUAGCGUGAAGGAUGACUGUCCUACGGGUGGUAAACUUCUUUUAUAAAGGAAUAAAACGAGGCACGUGUGCCUUUUUGCAUGUACUUUAUGAAUAAGGAUCGGCUAACUCCGUGCCAGCAGCCGCGGUAAUACGGAGGGUCCGAGCGUAAUCCGGUUUUAUUGGGUUUAAAGGGAGCGUAGGUGGGUUGUUAAGUCAGUUGUGAAAGUUUGCGGCUCAACCGUAAAAUUGCAAUUGAUACUGGCAGUCUUGAGUACAGUUGAGGUAGGCGGAAUUCGUGGGGUAGCGGUGAAAUGCUUAGAUAUCACGAAGAACCCCGAGUGCGAAGGCAGCUUACUAAAAUGUGACUGACAUUGAUGCUCGAAAGUGUGGGUAUCAAACAGGAUUAGAUACCCCUGUAGUC